AGACCUGCUAAAAGACGAAUGCCAAAAGAUGAGGACAAAAGUUAUCUAUAAUGUCGGUGGGGAGAGCAAACCCAAGAUCGGAGACCUUGAGUUUAAGAAAAGAAAGCAAUUUCUAAGAAAGUACGCUUCAAACAAUCAAAUACUUGGCCUUGCGCAUGAUCAGAUGGCACAAAUGUAUCACCGUUAACAUUAACAUUCGCUCAUCUCUGCACAGUCAUACUAUACAGGAGAGGGUGUAAACCAUAGGCUGUGCGAGUUAAACGUGUUUCAAUGGUUCAAAAAAAAAAAAAAAAA
rnacentral:misc_RNA from 1 species